rnacentral:rRNA from 1 species
UACCAGCACCCCGAGUGGUCGGGACGUUUAUUGGGCCUAAAGCAUCCGUAGCCGGUUCUACGAGUCUUCCGUUAAAUCCAACUGCUUAACAGGUGGGCUGCGGAAGAUACUAUAGAGCUAGGAGGCGGGAGAGGCAAGCGGUACUCGAUGGGUAGGGGUAAAAUCCGUUGAUUCAUUGAAGACCACCAGUGGCGAAGGCGGCUUGCCAGAACGCGCUCGACGGUGAGGGAUGAAAGCUGGGGGAGCAAACCGG